UACGUAGGGGGCGAGCGUUGUCCGGAUUUAUUGGGCGUAAAGAGCGUGUAGGCGGCCAGGUAGGUCUGCUGUGAAAACUCGAGGCUCAACCUCGAGAUGUCGGCGGAAACCAUUUGGCUAGAGUCCGGAAGAGGAAAGUGGAAUUCCUGGUGUAGCGGUGAAAUGCGCAGAUAUCAGGAAGAACACCCGUGGCGAAGGCGGCUUUCUGGGACGGUACUGGACGCUGGAGGAGCGAAAGCGUGGGGAGCGAAACAGG
rnacentral:rRNA from 1 species